AGAGUUUGAUCCUGGCUCAGAACGAACGUUGGCGACGUGGUUUAGGCAUGCAAGUCGAACGAGAAAGCGGUCUUCGGAUCGUGAGUACAGUGGCGAACUGGUGAGUAACAGGUGGGCAAUGUACCUCUUAGUGGGGGAUAACACUUGGAAACAGGUGCUAAUACCGCAUAUGGCGCGAAGGUGUUGGCUUUUGCGUCAAAGAUGCACUUCGGUGUGUCGCUAGGAGAUCAGCCCGUCCCCGAUUAGCUUGUUGGUAGGGUAAUGGCCUACCAAGGCUUUGAUCGGUAGGUGGCCUGAGAGGGUGGUCACCCACACUGGGACUGAGAUACGGCCCAGACUCCUACGGGAGGCAGCAGUCUAGAAGCUUCUACAAUGGGCGAAAGCCUGAUAGAGCGACGCCGCGUGCGGGAUUGAAGGCCGUGAGGUCGUAAACCGCUGUCAGCAGGGAAGAAGGCCCCAAUGGUGAAUUGGGGUUUGACGGUACCUGCAGAGGAAGCCCCGGCUAACUCCGUGCCAGCAGCCGCGGUAAUACGGAGGGGGCAAACGUUGUUCGGAAUUACUGGGCGUAAAGCGUGCGUAGGCGGUUUGGUAAGUCUUGUGUGAAAUCUCCCCGCUCAACGGGGAACCCGCAUGGGAUACUGCUGAACUUGAGGGUGAGAGAGGCAGGUGGAAUUUCUGGUGUAGCGGUGGAAUGCGUAGAUAUCAGAAAGAACACUCGUGGCGAAGGCGGCCUGCUGGCUCAUCCCUGACGCUGAGGUACGAAAGCCAGGGGAGCGAACGGGAUUAGAUACCCCGGUAGUCCUGGCCGUAAACGGUGAACACUAGAUGUCGGGGGUAUCGACCCCCUCGGUGUCGGAGCUAACGCAUUAAGUGUUCCGCCUGGGGAGUACGACCGCAAGGUUGAAACUCAAAGGAAUUGACGGGUCCCCGCACAAGCGGUGGAGGAUGCGGUUUAAUUCGACGCGACGCGAAGAACCUUACCAGGGCUUAAACAGCAGGGUAAACCCCUCGAAAGAGGGGCUGCUUCGGCAAUCCUGUAGAGGUGCUGCAUGGCAGUCGUCAGCUCGUGUCGUGAGAUGUUGGGUUAAGUCCCGCAACGAGCGCAACCCUUGUCUUUAGUUGCCAGCGCGUAAUGGCGGGAACUCUAGAGAGACUGCCGCCGUAAGGCGGAGGAAGGUGGGGAUGACGUCAUGUCCUCAUGGCCCUUAUGUCCUGGGCUACACGCGUCCUACAAUGGUCGGUACAGCGAGUCGCAAUGCCGCGAGGUGGAGCUAAUCUCACAAAGCCGGCCCCAGUUCGGAUUGUAGUCUGCAACUCGACUACAUGAAGGCGGAAUCGCUAGUAAUCGUGGAUCAGCACGCCACGGUGAAUACGUUCCCGGGGAUUGUACACACCGCCCGUCACAUCACGAAAGUCGGUUGUACUUGAAGUCGCUGAGCCAACCCGCAAGGGAGGCAGGUGCCGAUGGUAUGAUCGGUAAUUGGGAUGAAGUC
rnacentral:rRNA from 1 species